rnacentral:sRNA from 1 species
UUGCCUCAGUAACGGCGAGUGAAGCGGCAAGAGCUCAAAUUUGAAAGCUGGCCCCUCCGGGGUCCGCAUUGUAAUUUGCAGAGGAUGCUUCGGGCUCAGCCCCCGUCUAAGUGCCCUGGAACGGGCCGUCGGAGAGGGUGAGAAUCCCGUCUGGGACGGGGUGCCUGGGUCCAUGUGAAGCUCCUUCGACGAGUCGAGUUGUUUGGGAAUGCAGCUCUAAAUGGGUGGUAAAUUUCAUCUAAAGCUAAAUACUGGCCGGAGACCGAUAGCGCACAAGUAGAGUGAUCGAAAGAUGAAAAGCACUUUGAAAAGAGAGUUAAACAGCACGUGAAAUUGUUGAAAGGGAAGCGCUUGCGAUCAGACUCGCCUGCGGGGUUCAGCCGGCAUUCGUGCCGGUGUACUUCCCCGUGGGCGGGCCAGCGUCGGUUCGGGUGGCCGGUCAAAGGCCCCGGGAAUGUGUCGCCCUCCGGGGCGUCUUAUAGCCCGGGGUGCCAUGCGGCCUACCUGGACCGAGGAACGCGCUUCGGCUCGGACGCUGGCGUAAUGGUCGUAAGCGACCCGUCUUGAAACACGGACCAAGGAGUCUAACAUCUACGCGAGUGUUUGGGUGGCAAACCCAUACGCGCAGUGAAAGCGAACGGAGGUGGGAACCCUUCGGGGCGCACCAUCGACCGAUCCUGAUGUCUUCGGAUGGAUUUGAGUAAGAGCGUAGCUGUGGGGACCCGAAAGAUGGUGAACUAUGCCUGAAUAGGGCGAAGCCAGAGGAAACUCUGGUGGAGGCUCGCAGCGGUUCUGACGUGCAAAUCGAUCGUCAAAUUUGGGUAUAGGGCGAAAGACUAA